GCAUCGGGAGUCGGGGUCGGAGGGAAAACUGCUUGUUUUGUGAUUCAGGGAAGCUUUGAAUCAGGAAAACUGUUUCCUUAUAUUCCUUAACAAUUUUGAAGCAAUACUUUCUCUGUUAAGCAGUUUCUAAGGGGUAAGAAGUGGUGCCAACGACAGUCCCUGGUAUUCAGUGUUCAAAGAAUCAAGCUUCACAUACUUCCCUACAUUUGUAUUUGAUUCCAAGUAACAUACGAGUAAUCGUGCAGUUCGAUAUCGGGCCCUGUUCGCAGUGGGAAUUGCGUUCAUGGGCUCGCAACUUGAAGAUGAUGGUGUUUAAGUGAUAUGUAUCCGUUGUGAAUUUGAUGAAUUCACAACAAGGAACUUGACACAUUUCUACCUGCAGCGUGUGUCAGUCGGUCGUGGACAUAUCCCCACUCAGGGGGGUGUCGGGUGGAAUCGAGUGCGUGUUGGGCUGCAGUGGUAGAUAGGCAUUGGAAUGAGCGCUGUGGGAAGUGAAUAUGGAGGGGGGAGUGUGUUGAAUCGAUUCCUACAUUUGACAAUGUCCUGCUUCUUGCAAAGCAAUUUUGGUCUUACAUUGCUAAGAAAUCGGGUGAGUUUAAAGAUUAGAACCAGAGUGAUGAGGGUGUGAUUACUGCGGAUCGAAGUUUGUAUAUGGUGUGGAUUAGAAGCACGAUGGAGGGUGGUGUGCGAUGUGGUGCAGCUAAGUGGGAUGGUUGCGGUGAUGGUGGGUGAACGAUGGAUCCACGGUACCCUUUCAUCGUAAAUGGGCCCCACAAGGAGCAGUCAAGAUUUUUUUGAGCAUUGACAGCAAAUUUCCUGCUGUUCGUCAACUCGCAAUUGAAGUGAGCAGUUGAUGGAGAGGUGCACGCAUUUAUGCGGGAAUUGUCAAUUGAAUGAAGUUGCAGACACGAUGAUGCAUUCGUACUGAAAAAUAGUGAUACGACGAGACGUCGGAUUCAACGUGGAGAUGAUAUCCUUACGUAGUUAUGCUAAUGUUGACAGGAAUGCAGUUUGUGUCGGCUGGAUGUUGUUGAUAUGGAGAAAGUGGAUGGAGGAUCGGUGACCAAGCUAGCAGAUGUUGAUGCGGGGUGGUGGCUGCUGGUGAUGUGUCUUACAUUGCGACUUGCAGUGGGAGGGUAUUUCCAUCGCGGCAGCUUGCAGUUGUUUCACGAGUAGAUGAUUGCAUUUGUAAGUGAUUGUGCUUGUUCCACGGAAUGUGUUGUCCGUGCUCUUCAUCUGAAAUGCUCGAAGGAGACGUUUGCAUACAACGCUGGCAAGAGUGAUGGGUAAUGGAAGGUUGGGAGUAAUGCGUGGUGAAGUAGGGCGUGACGAAGAUCUGUGAUAACAGCGAGCUAGUGUUCCCGUGUGGUAGUUUGAAGAUGGAUCGUAGUCUGGGCGAUUGCAGUUUUGGUAACCAGAUGUGGGAAGCGCAUGGUUUUGGUGUAGGUGAGUGGAGAAGAUCAUGAGGCAGUGAAGAGGUGCUAGAAGGUAUUGUUGUGAAGGCUGAGAAUACCUUGAGAAUUUAAUGGAAGCUGGAAAUGAGAUGCAUGAAACCACUUGGAUAUGGUUCUUCUUCUUUAUAUAAAACUGAUGAAAGUGUCACAUUGUUUGA